rnacentral:rRNA from 1 species
UACGGGGGGAGCAAGCGUUGUUCGGAUUUACUGGGCGUAAAGGGCGCGUAGGCGGUCAGCACAAGUCAAUUGUGAAAUCUCCGAGCUUAACUCGGAAAGGUCAACUGAAACUGUGCGACUAGAGUGCGGAAGGGGCAACUGGAAUUCUUGGUGUAGCGGUGAAAUGCGUAGAUAUCAAGAGGAACACCUGCGGCGAAGGCGGGUUGCUGGGCCGACACUGACGCUGAGGCGCGAAAGCGUGGGGAGCAAACAGG